AUUGAACGCUGGCGGAAUGCUUUACACAUGCAAGUCGAGCGGCAGCGCGGGGCAACCUGGCGGCGAGCGGCGAACGGGUGAGUAAUACAUCGGAACGUGCCCAGACGUGGGGGGAUAACUACUCGAAAGAGUGGCUAAUACCGCAUACGAUCUACGGAUGAAAGCGGGGGAUCGCAAGACCUCGCGCGUCUGGAGCGGCUGAUGGCAGAUUAGGUAGUUGGUGGGAUAAAAGCCUACCAAGCCAACGAUCUGUAGCUGGUCUGAGAGGAUGAUCAGCCACACUGGGACUGAGACACGGCCCAGACUCCUACGGGAGGCAGCAGUGGGGAAUUUUGGACAAUGGGCGAAAGCCUGAUCCAGCCAUCCCGCGUGCAGGAUGAAGGCCCUCGGGUUGUAAACUGCUUUGUACAGAACGAAAAAGCUACUGGCUAAUACCUGGAGUCCAUGACGGUACUGUAAGAAUAAGCACCGGCUAACUACGUGCCAGCAG
rnacentral:rRNA from 1 species